rnacentral:rRNA from 1 species
AUUGAACGCUGGCGGCAGGCCUAACACAUGCAAGUCGAGCGGAGCGGCGGACGGGUGAGUAAUGCCUAGGAAUCUGCCUGGUAGUGGGGGAUAACGUCCGGAAACGGGCGCUAAUACCGCAUACUAUCAGAUGAGCCUAGGUCGGAUUAGCUAGUUGGUGGGGUAAAGGCCUACCAAGGCGACGAUCCGUAACUGGUCUGAGAGGAUGAUCAGUCACAAUGGAACUGAGACACGGUCCAGACUCUGACGAGAGGCAGCAGGGGGGAAUAUGGGACAAGUGGAGAAAGCCUGAAACAGCCAGGCCGCGUGUGUGAAGAAGGUCAUCGGAUUGUAAAGAACUUUAAGUUGGGAGGCGUGACCAACAGAAUGAGCAACGGCUAACUUCGUGCCAGCAGCCGCGGUAAUUC